rnacentral:rRNA from 1 species
GAUGAACGCUGGCGGCGUGCUUAACACAUGCAAGUCGAACGAGAAGUGAAGACGGAAACCUUCGGGCGGAAGGCUUUAUUUCUAGUGGCGGACGGGUUAGUAACGCGUGGGUAUCCUGCCUCAUACAGGUGGAUAACAGUUUGAAACGACUGUUAAUACCGCAUAAUACCACAGCACCGCAUGGUUCGGUGGUAAAAACUCCGGUGGUAUGAGAUGGACCCGCGUUCGAUUAGCCAGUUGGCGGGGUAACGGCCCACCAAAGCGACGAUCGAGAGACGAGAAGAGAGGAGGACAGGCGACAUUGGGAAUGAGAAACGGCCCAAACUACUACGGGAGGCAGCAGUGGGGAAUAUUGCAAAAUGGGGGAAAACCUGAUGAAGCGACGCGGCGUGAGUGAAGAAGUAUGUCGGUAUGUAAAGCGAUAUAAGCAGGGAAGAAAAUGACGGUACCUGAGUAAGAAGCCCCGGCUAACUACGUG